rnacentral:rRNA from 1 species
AUUGAACGCUGGCGGCAGGCCUAACACAUGCAAGUCGAACGAGUGGCGGACGGGUGAGUAAUGUCUGGGAAACUGCCUGAUGGAGGGGGAUAAAUACUGGAAACGGUAGCUAAUACCGCAUACCAUCGGAUGUGCCCAGAUGGGAUUAGCUAGUAGGUGGGGUAAAGGCUCACCUAGGCGACGAUCCCUAGCUGGUCUGAGAGGAUGACCAGCCACACUGGAACUGUGACACGGUCCAGACUCCUACGGCAGUCAGCUGUGGGGAAUAUUGCACGAUGGGCGCAAUCCUGAUGCAGCCAUGCCGCGUGUAUGAAGAAGGCCUUCGGGUUGUAAAGUACUUUCAGCGUGGAGGCGUUACCCGCAGAAGAGGCGCCGGCUAACUCCGUGCCAGCAGCCGCGGUAAUUC